rnacentral:rRNA from 1 species
ACUGGCCGCCGGGGGGCUUACGCCCCCGGGCCCGCGCCCGCCGAAGACACCCUCGAACUCUGUCUGAAGAUUGUAGUCUGAGUGAACAUAUAAAUUAUUUAAAACUUUCAACAACGGAUCUCUUGGUUCCGGCAUCGAUGAAGAACGCAGCGAAAUGCGAUACGUAAUGUGAAUUGCAAAUUCAGUGAAUCAUCGAGUCUUUGAACGCACAUUGCGCCCCCUGGUAUUCCGGGGGGCAUGCCUGUCCGAGCGUCAUUGCUGCCCUCAAGCACGGCUUGUGUGUUGGGCCCCGUCCUCCGAUCCCGGGGGACGGGCCCGAAAGGCAGCGGCGGCACCGCGUCCGGUCCUCGAGCGUAUGGGGCUUUGUCACCCGCUCUGUAGGCCCGGCCGGCGCUUGCCGAUCAACCCAAAUUUUUAUCCAGGU